UUUGGACAGCCCGCCCUCCUCGCCAGCGGAUACUGUUUCUGGUGCUGAUAUACCUAUUGCCCCUUCCCCUGCGCCCCAUAGAUUUGCGCCCGCCUAUGGCACCCUUGCCAUGCUCGGCGAAGACGGCGAGGUCCGGCCGCUUGAGGAGAUGGAGGCUGAGAGCAUCCGCUUCGCCAUCGCUCAUUAUCGCGGGCAGAUGUCCGAGGUUGCACGGCGGCUGAAGAUCGGCCGCUCGACGCUGUACCGGAAAAUCGACGAGGCUGCGGCCUCCGGCAGGGAACCUGUCGACCCCACGCGCUGACGCGCGAAUCACUGUCCUAUGGAACGAAACCACGGCUUUUUCGCUUCUCUCAUUGAACCGUUGCGGUCCGGUGACAGACGGAGGAAAAGCGCGCGGCAAUGCGCGCAAAUCGUUGCAAGAAAUGCCGAAUUGAAGUCAUUUCUCUGGAGUUGACUUCGAGUUGAUCCGGCGGCGACUGGCCGCUUUAAGCUGGCGCGUGUACCGUUUCGCAGUGUUUUCAAUGCGGGAUUGCGUAGCAAAGUCCGAUCAAGCCGGCGCUUUUGCAA
rnacentral:misc_RNA from 1 species